UCGAUUUCCAGGACGCGGGGCGGGGGGCGGGGCACCGCUGCGGUUUCCGGGGAGCGGCAGGUGAGGCCACGCGGGGUCGCCGCCGGGGCUGACCUCUGGCUCCGAGCGAGGCGCUCCCUGCCGGGGUUGGCGUGGAAGCGCGAUGGGCACAGGCCUCUAGGAGCGGGUCUGGAACCACCGAGGGCCCGCUGCCUUUGUCCCGGAGCCAGCCGGGAAACAGCUCCCGCCUCUGCUAGAGACAGUUAGUGGAGGGCCAGGGUGGGUGAGGUCUGUGGCCCCCUGGAAACCAAUAAGCGGCGGCAAGAAAGGAGUUGGUCCCCACAAAUCGCCCAAAGUCAAGAGACCAUGACAAGUGCUGGAAAGAUGCUAAGUCCCUACUAAAUAUGCAUUCCCUUGGUCUUCAGAAGUCAUGGGGAAUAAUCGUUCGAUAUCUCCUUCAUAAAACCUUCCAUGAACUUGAAAACAGCAACCAGAAAAGAAAAAUUUGGAUGCAGAGACAGAUACACACAGAGAGAAGAAGACGUGAAGACACAGGGUGGACACAGAGAGGGGACAGAGGACUGGAGUGAUGCAUCUAUACGCCAAGGAACGCCUGAGGCUGCCGGAAGCUCGGAUUGCAGCAUGGAACAGAUCCUUCCCUAGCAUCUUCAGAGGGAGCAUGGCCCUGCCAACACCUUGAUUUUGGACUUCUGGCCUCCAGAAUUGUGAGAGAAUAAAUUUCUCUUUAUUAAAUAGAUAUCCACCCAGUUUCUGAUUCUCGUUAUGGCAGCCUAAAGAAACAAAUACAUCUGCUCGAGUUGCGUGUCCUUAACCAGGGCCAGAAAAAAGACGGGUGAAGCCUCAGCCUAUUCCUGCGUGGGAUGCUUGCGCAACAAAGAAAUAUAAACGAAAAUCCUCAGAUGUUAUUAAAGAGAGGCUCCUGGACUAAGAGGCCCCCAGAUGACGGCAGGGUGAGAGAGAAGCAAACUUUCCACAGUAUUAACUGUCACGGAUUUUUCCUCCUGUGUACAAUCGAGUGGCUGCAAGGCAGUUCUAAAAGGCGUGUUUUAUUUAUAAACAGAUCUGGAAAUAUUUUUAAAAUAAAAGAUGCCAAGGGUGGGGCUGGGUCACAGCCAAGUCAUGAGAAGUGAGAUGUUUAUUCUAGAGGUCGGCAUUAGCACCCUCCCACAGGUAGUUUUAAAGUAAUUCAGGGUCAAGUGGAAACAUUCUGAUUAUUUUUACCUUCAGCUUCAGAUUUCAGAGGGUAUGGAUUCUGGCUUGUUGGGAAGCUCAUCUGAGGGACUCUACGCUUUAAGUACAAUCCAGUUUCGUAGUUUCCGAGGCAAACGCUGACCUGACUGAAUUUAAAAACAGCUUCCGCAGUUGAUUUCCCCAAGGCCUCACCUUUACUUCCCUCUGCUCUCUUUCCUUUGUGUUCGCCUUAUUCUCAGGCUGGGGCACAUGCAGACCUUGGAAGAGACUGCAGGGGACCAACAGAGGAUGGGGAAGUUGUUAACAUGACUAAAUGCGCCCUUCCCGGGUUCCGUCUGCCAUCUUUCUGUUCUAUUUCUAUUCUGCCCUUUCUGUUCCAUUCUGGUUUCUUCAGUUGCUUUGAGGAGGGAGGAGGGAGAGGAUGUCUGGUCAAAGAGCAUCCCGAUGGGAACAGGAGAAUUAAGGAGAGGAAAUAGGAGCCGGAGAUAAAGAAAUAAGAGCUAGAAGAGAAACAAAUAGAGACGGAGAUGAUGGAUAAUACGAGGAACAUAACAGAGAGGGAGCAAAAGGAAAAAGGAGUGAGACAUGGAGAUUGUCCCGUAGAGAGAAACAAUUCAGAAAUAGAAAAAUGUGAGAAACUUGAAAGUAAACAAACUUAGAAGCCCAUACAGGAAAGGAAAGAACCAAAUGGAAGUAAGAAAUAGAACCCCAAACAGGAAGGACGUCUGAAUGAGAAAUGUGAUUGAGGGACGGAACAGAGAAGCCUUUGUGGCGUGUUUGUAGAUUAGAAGGAAACGACAGAACAGAGGGAAUCCAGGAGUGUUUAUUCCUUGCACCUGGCAAACAAAAAAAUCAUUAUUUUUUAAUCAUGGAAGAAACACCUCUAAGAGCACUGGGCCUUUCAUGCUAUCGGCCUGUCUCUCACUCAUCUUAAUCCCUUAGGACUCUUUUAAAAGCGUCAGGAAACCCAGCAUGAGGAAAACCACAUUUCCACCCACAUGACUUUUAUAUAAAGUUUACUUUAGAGAGAUAAGUUCUCACAUCCCUUAGAGUUCAAGCUGGGUUACCUGUCCUCGGCAGUAAAUGAUCUUGAGCUUUUUAGUUCCUUAUAAAUCCCCGGGUAAAUGACAAAAACAUCUUGGUUCCUUAAAAAUAUGGCUAAAAAAUGAAAUAAUUAUUUGCAUGACUCCCAUUUCAGAAGGCUGCUUUACUAUUAAUAAGUUAGAGGCUGCCUCGUAAGUUUAAAUAAUUUAACAAAUGGAGUAAUAAAAAAAAGGUAAGUAAAGCAUAAACCUAUAAACACAGCCCAUACCCAGAAGAAGUAAAGAUUAGUUAUUUCAUUAGUGCAAAUUGCUGUUACUAAACAUUAUGAUAAAUUACCAAAAAGAUGCCUCGCCACCCCUUCUAUAAUUUUAGGUUAUUAAUUUUAUUCAUAUACAAGUAAUUCUUGCCUUGUAUGCCUCUCUUGCCCUGUUUCUCUAAUGAGGAAACGGGGCGGGGGCGGGGAGGAAUGUAGUAGAUAAAAAUGCUCAAAUUGGGGCUGAAGCAAAUAAAAAAAGAUCAGAAACAAAUAACAUUAUCAGCUUUUAGACCCAUAAUAAGCUCUUAUUUAUUUAACCCUAUUAAUUUGAAAUUUGUACUAACUUGAUUGGGAUCUGGACAGAAAUUUUCCUUCAUUUAGCAAACGCCGUCUUGCUAAGUAGUGCAGAAGAAUGAUGUAAAUGUGAUUACAAGGGGAACAUUCAAAAUACAUCUUUGAGCACUUCAGGCAAUCUCUUCUAUAUGAAUAAUUAAUAUAAGAAUACAUAUCAUUCUUAUCCAAUAAUUAUCUGGUAAUUCAGAAAGAAUUUGUUAGGUCACCCUGCAGAGUAGGGAGGUGUGGGUUUCAUGCUAAAUAGCAAGGCACUUAACCUUUUUAGCCUUUAUAUUUCUUACCUGUAAAAUUAGUUUGAUAAUACUAACUCUACCUAGUCAAAGGGUUUUUUAUGAGCAUGAAAUGAGAGAAUGGAUGGGAAUCCAUUCUGAAGGUAUUAGUAAAAUUUAUUUUAUUUAAAAUGAAUUCAAAAUUUAUGCCUUUCAGUAUUUCAAUAUGACCUUCUCUCCAAUUGUCCACACCAAUGAGGGUUUUAUGCUUUAUUCAGCUUCAGUGAAAGCAGGUUCCCUAAUGAAUUGGUGUGUGUUUCAUACACACACACACACACACACACACACACACACACACACACAAACAAUUCUCUCUUUUCCAUUCCCCUUACCCUCAAAGUAUCUUUGAAGUUAUCUAUGGUAUUCUGAGUACACUAAAUUUACUUGACAUGGAACAAUUGAAAAAAGUUAUUGUGUGUACCUGAAAGAGUCUAGAUAUUGGAAUCUGACAGGCUUAGGUUCAAAUUAAGGCCCUUCCACAUAGAUGAGUAAGCCUAAGCAAUAAUCUUUCUGAGUCUCAGUUUCUUUGUUUGUAAAAAUGGAUAAUACCAACUGUAUAGGACUUUUUAUAAAGACUAGGGGAGAUAAUGUACACAGCACAUAGUGCCUAGCACAGACUAGGCCCUUCAAAGUGAUGACGAUUAUUAAUAUGAAAGGUAAGUUAUCUUGAAGUGAUAUUUGCAUUGGAGAAAUAACUCAAGACUCCUCACUUUAAAUCUCUGGCUCCAAUUCAACUUGGCUCCGAAAAUAUGGUGCCAAAUAGAGAGUCAUAAUCACAGUGUCUUGUACCAUUUCUUUUUUUUUUUACACAUAGAUACCCUAUAUUGCUUUUGGUGAAAAGUAUGUUGCAAAGUAUUAAAAUAAUGUUUCCUCAAUUCUAAGACAUCUGUUUUUUCACAUUUGAAUGUUUUGGAAAAUCAGAAUGAGCUUUACAAUUAUUGUCACAAUAAACAUGUCAACUGCUAGGUGGAAGAGUUGCUAAGAGGAGUUGUCAUUUGCCUGUAAAUCUUUCAGAAUAAAGAAUUUUUCAAAGC